GACGAACGCUGGCGGCGUGCUUAACACAUGCAAGUCGAACGGAAAGGCCCUGCUUUUGUGGGGGGCUCGAGUGGCGAACGGGUGAGUAACACGUGAGUAACCUGCCCUUGACUUUGGGAUAACUUCAGGAAACUGGGGCUAAUACCGGAUAGGAGCUCCUGCUGCAUGGUGGGGGUUGGAAAGUUUCGGCGGUUGGGGAUGGACUCGCGGCUUAUCAGCUUGUUGGUGGGGUAGUGGCUUACCAAGGCUUUGACGGGUAGCCGGCCUGAGAGGGUGACCGGCAACAUUGGGACUGAGAUACGGCCCAGACUCCUACGGGAGGCAGCAGUGGGGAAUAUUGCACAAUGGGCGGAAGCCUGAUGCAGCAACGCCGCGUGCGGGAUGACGGCCUUCGGGUUGUAAACCGCUUUCGCCUGUGACGAAGCGUGAGUGACGGUAAUGGGUAAAGAAGCACCGGCUAACUACGUG
rnacentral:rRNA from 1 species